AUGGAAAGGCUUUCUGCAAUCCAUUCUAAGUGUCACUGAAUCCAAAGCCACUACGAGAAGUGGAGAGUUUGUUGAUGGAAAAACAGUGGGAAGGCCUUCCUCAAUCAAAUGUGCUUCGUACGCAGCGGUGUUGAGGUCACUGGCGGGUAGUCAGGCCGAGAUCAGCUCAGCGGUAGAAAGAAAGGGCAAUGCACUUGUAGGAGACAAAAGAUCUCAGGUGACAUUGGGUGAGUUGGAGGGAGGAGUUAUGGAUUAUGUGAGAGAUCUAAUGAUUAAAGUGGAUAAGGGGCUGGACCUAGUUGUGGGUACAAGUGUGCUACCAAGUGUGCCGGAAAGUGUGCAAGCAAAGGGUGUGUCGACGAUAGGGUCGUUGGACGCUGGCAUCUUUGUUCAUGCCAAUGUCACUAUGCCUUCUGAGGGAGCUGUAGGGUCUCAGGCACCAGUUGCAGAUGAAGUUGGUCCUUUUGUCCAGGGUUCAUUUGUAGUUGAAGAUGGGGGUCCCUCCAAGGUCUCGAGUAUUUUGGA